rnacentral:rRNA from 1 species
AUUGAACGCUGGCGGCAGGCCUAACACAUGCAAGUCGAACGAGUGGCGGACGGGUGAGUAAUGUCUGGGAAACUGCCUGAUAGAGGGGGAUAACUACUGGAAACGGUAGCUAAUACCGCAUACCAUCGGAUGUUCCCCGAUGGGAUUAGCUAGUAGGUGGGGUAAAGGCUCACCUGGGCGACGAUCGCUAGCUGGUCUGAGAGGAGGACCGGCCAAAUGGGAACUGAGCCACGGUCCAGACUCCUAGGGGAGGCAGAAGGGGGGAAUAGUGGACAAGGGGGGCAAGCCUGAUGCAGCCAUGCCGGGGGUAUGAAGAAGGCCUUCGGGUUGUAAAGUACUUUCAGCGGGGAGGCGUUACCCGCAGAAGAAGCACCGGCUAACUCCGUGCCAGCAGCCGCGGUAAUAC